GUCAGGAUGGCCGAGUGGUCUAAGGCGCCAGACUCAAGUUCUGAUCCCUUUCUAGGGGCGUGGGUUCGAAUCCCACUUCUGACA
rnacentral:tRNA from 1 species